rnacentral:rRNA from 1 species
CGGAGGAAAAGAAACUAACAAGGAUUCCCCUAGUAGCGGCGAGCGAAGCGGGAAGAGCUCAAAUUUAUAAUCUGGCACCUUCGGUGUCCGAGUUGUAAUCUCUAGAAAUGUUUUCCGCGUUGGACCGCACACAAGUCUGUUGGAAUACAGCGGCAUAGUGGUGAGACCCCCGUAUAUGGUGCGGACGCCCAGCGCUUUGUGAUACAUUUUCGAAGAGUCGAGUUGUUUGGGAAUGCAGCUCAAAUUGGGUGGUAAAUUCCAUCUAAAGCUAAAUAUUGGCGAGAGACCGAUAGCGAACAAGUACCGUGAGGGAAAGAUGAAAAGCACUUUGGAAAGAGAGUUAACAGUACGUGAAAUUGUUGGAAGGGAAACGCUUGAAGUCAGACUUGCUUGCCGAGCAAUCGGUUUGCAGGCCAGCAUCAGUUUUCCGGGAUGGAUAAUGGUAGAGAGAAGGUAGCAGUUUCGGCUGUGUUAUAGCUCUCUGCUGGAUACAUCUUGGGGGACUGAGGAACGCAGUGUGCCUUUGGCGGGGGUUUCGACCUCUUCACGCUUAGGAUGCUGGUGGAAUGGCUUUAAACGACC